rnacentral:rRNA from 1 species
GUAGGUGGCAAGCGUUGUCCGGAAUUAUUGGGCGUAAAGCGCGCGCAGGCGGUUCUUUAAGUCUGAUGUGAAAGCCCACGGCUCAACCGUGGAGGGUCAUUGGAAACUGGAGAACUUGAGUACAGAAGAGGAAAGCGGAAUUCCACGUGUAGCGGUGAAAUGCGUAGAGAUGUGGAGGAACACCAGUGGCGAAGGCGGCUUUCUGGUCUGUAACUGACGCUGAGGCGCGAAAGCGUGGGGAGCAAACAGGGAUUAGAUACCCUGGUAGUCCACGCCGUAAACGAUGAGUGCUAAGUGUUAGGGGGUUUCCGCCCCCUUAGUGCUGCAGCUAACACAUUAAGCACUCCGCCUGGGGAGUACGGCCGCAAGGCUG